rnacentral:rRNA from 1 species
GAUCCUGCCGGACCCCACUGCUAUCGGGAUAGGACUAAGACAUGCUAGUCGAGUGAUUCAGGCAAAACGAGUCACGGCACACAGCUCAGUAACACGUGGCUACCUGCCCUUAGGACGAGAACAACCCCGGGAAACUGGGGCUAACUCUCGAUAGGCGAAGAACUCUGGAAUGAGUCUUUACCUAAAUAGUGCAACGUUAUCCUCGUUGCAUCGCCUAAGGAUGAGGCCGCGACCGAUCAGGUUGUUGGCGAGGUAAUGGCUCACCAAGCCUUUUACCGGUGCGGGCCGUGAGAGCGGGAGCCCGGAGAUGGGCACUGAGACAAGGGCCCAGGCCCUACGGGGCGCAGCAGUCGCGAAAACUUUGCAAUAAGCGAAAGCUUGACAGGGCUAUCCCGAGUGCCAUCCGCUGAGGAAGGCUUUUACCCAGUCUAGAACGCUGGGGGAAUAAGGAGAGGGCAAGUCUGGUGUCAGCCGCCGCGGUAAUACCAGCUCUCCGAGUGGUGUGGAUGUUUAUUGGGCCUAAAGCAUCCGUAGCUGGCUAGGUCAGUCCCUUGUUAAAUCCACCGAAUUAAUCGUUGGAUUGCGGGGGAUACUGCUUGGCUAGGGGACGAGAGAGGCAGACGGUAUUUUCGGGGUAGGGGUGAAAUCCUAUAAUCCCGGGAAGACCACCAGUGGCGAAGGCUGUCUGCUAGAACGCGCCCGACGGUGAGGGAUGAAAGCUGGGGGAGCGAACCGGAUUAGAUACCCGGGUAGUCCCAGCUGUAAACGAUGCAGACUAGGUGUUUGGACGGCCACGUGCCGUUCUAGUGCCGCAGGGAAGCUGUUAAGUCUGCCGCCUGGGGAGUACGAUCGCAAGGUUGAAACUUAAAGGAAU